ensembl:lncRNA
AUGUAUAUAUAUUUUAACAUAAUUCGUUUUCUUUUUUUUCAUGUCCCUCAUUUUUGUUCAGUAAAGAAAAUUAAGAAUAUUAAAAUCGAAAAAAAAUCUGAAAACAACAACAGAACAGCUAGAUAUAUAAACCAACACGUUUUAAUUGACUACUCAAAUGUAAAUUAUGACCUAAAUUUAAAAAAUUAUAUAGCUAGAAUCUUAAGAAUUUACAAAUUAGAAGAUAACUUUGAUUUUAUGAAAGGGUUACAUUUAUAUAUGAACAUUUUAUCCUAUGUUAUAUUUAAAAAAUUUACAUAUGCAUAUAAUAAAAACGAAGCUAAAAAUAAAAACUUGUUGGUAUUUUUAAAAAAUUUAUUUCCUUUUGAAUUUCAAAACUUUCAAGACGUAUAUGAUACAAGGUGGGGUAAGGAUAUCAACACUUCCGAACAUUAUAAUGAUGAUGUUAUAGUUAUGCAUAAAACUGAUGUAGAAAUAGUAGGGAACUUGCAUACAUCAGAAAAAGAUAAAAACAGUUAUAAUAAAAAUUGUGAAAAUAAUAACGAUGGUUGUAAUAGUAAACAGCAAGAGCAAGAGCAAGAGCGAGAGAAAGAGCAAGAAAAACAACAACCAAAUGAUAAAGACAAACAUACUAACAAUUUAAAUAUACCUAAUUUAGAAAAAAAUAACCAAAGUGUAAAUAACGGAAGAAGUAAUAUUAAAAGCACUAGUUCUAUGGACAUGUCAUAUUAUAUUAACAACUGUAUCUCUAAUUGUAAAAACGGUUCUACUCUUAAUAAUAUCACUAAGGAUAAUAAAGUUGUGUUAGUCAAAAGGGAAAAAUUAGAAUCGAACGAAGCGAACAAAAAAAAUAUAAACAGUAGCUCAUCACCAGACGUACAUGCCAAUGGCGAAUUUGUAUAUACGGAUAUACUGAAAAAUAAAAACAUAGAAACAGUCACUAUAAAUAUAUUCGAUAAACAUCGAUUUGAUUAUAGAACUCGUUUUCGAAGUUUAAUAUCACAAAGCUUAAAUAAUGAUGAUUAUAUAAAAUACUGUGAAAUAAGAGAAAAAUUAUUUAAAUAUAAAAAAAAAAAUUUCAUAAAUUGGUUGUCUAAUUUUACAAAUAUGAAUAUAUUAAAUUUAUAUGUAAUUAAUUUUUUUAUAUUUUUAUUUUUAGAUAGGUUAUAUUUAAUAAUAGAGACAUAUAUACGAUUUAACUAUUAUGAACAACAAAACAAAAAUUGUUCUAUUAAUAAUUCUUUGACAGAAAACAUAGAUAAUUUAAAGAAUUUACCAAAUUUUAAUUAUAUUUUAAGUUAUUUAACACAAUUUAUAAACAAAGAUGAUGCCAAUAUAUCAAUAAGUGUCAUUCAUAAAACUGAUAAUGAUUCACAAAAUAAUAAAAAAAAUCAAAAUUUAAAAAAAGAAAAUAAUUGUUCCGCUAAUGAUAAAAAUAAUUUGACACAAAUAUAUAAUACAAUUGUUAAAGAAAAAUUUUCCAAUUUCUUUUUAUCAAUAAAUUUGAUAUAUAAUUUAGAUAUAUAUAAUUUAAAAAUAAAAAAUAAAAUAAAUUUUCAAAAAUUAAUAAAAAUAGAUAUUUCUUCGUAUAUUAAUGAAAGUAACAUUUAUGAACUUAUAAAAUUUGAUAAAAAUAAGAAUAUAUCUCCUUGGAAUUUAUUAACCAAUUAUGCUAUACUUCAAAACAGGUGAGGACCGACUUUAUACUCAUACAUACACUUAUAUUACAUACAUAUAUCUAUAUAUUAUUUUUACAAACUAUUAUAUUAAGGCGCAUGUAUGUAGGUAUAUAAUAUGUACAUAUAUAUAUAUAUAUAUACAAACAUGCGUUUGUACAUUAGUCAUUUUUCUCUCAUUUUUCUUGUCAUGUCUUUUUUUUUUUUAACUUAUCAGCAAUUUCAAGUUGGAAAAAUUUGACUGCUUUUCCAUUUUUCUUAUUGUUCGCUUCAAGUUUUAUUUGGAAGAAUUUAAGGAAAAUGCAAACAUUGAUUACAUAUACAAAAAUAUAAAAGAAGAAUAUCUCGAAGUCGAAAAUUACUUAAAAAACAAAAACAAUGAAACUGACAAUUGUAAAGCACAUAAUUCCAAUUAUUUUGAAUUUAAUAGCUUAAUACCUCUUUAUCUUGAUAUACAAAAAGAAUUGAAAAAGGUAUUCUUAUGUUUAAUAAUUUGUUUUUAUUUAUCUAUUUGUAAUUGUUUAUUUUUUUUUUUUUUUUGUUCAGUUUAGAAUGUUUUUUUAAGGCACUUCGAUA